UGCUCUGGGGAAAUCUCCAACAUGGCGGCGCUGAGACGGGGGCUUGUGAGUCCAGGCGACGUAGCUAAAGUCUGAAAGAUGAACAUUUCGAAAUACUACUUACGGAUCUUUUUAGAAGGAUUGGAGGGAAAGUGGCCAACUCCAGCUGCAGCUCUAUUCUCCUGUACUCCGACUGUGAAGGAGAGAACAGAAAGGUGUCUGCCUGAUGAUGACCACCGACCGGAAGAGAGAGGAGCAGCUGUAGAUUCAGCAGACUUCGGUGGCAUAAACGACGAUGAGAUGCUGGCAGCCGUGCUGGAGAUGAGUCGUCAAGAGGCCGGGCUCUCGGCUCCACCCCUCCUGGAGGAUGAGCCGACCAGCAGCCCAGGGCUUUGGACACUCAGAUGCCCGUGACCUGGCCUAUCAUACAGAUCUGCUGGAAACGGACAGCAAACAGCCUUCAGAUGUGCUGGAUUCCCUGGACUUCACCAUGGACGAGAACAAGGAGAACCAGACUCCAGAGAGCGUGCAGCAGCAAUGUGAACUGGCCUGGGUACAGCAGUCUGGACCACGAGAGAGAAAAACAGGAGCUACAACAGGCUCCAGGAGCAUGUAAGAUCACAUGACAUCUGGAGGGCUGUCCUUUAAGACUGGAGCAACAGUGCUGCGUCUAAAUACUGUCGUAGCGCCAUGAUUCCAUGAACUAACCUGUAUCUAAUAUGCAAACGAGAAAUACGAGUUGAAUGUCCAAGUUAUUAGUAGUAGUUCCAUUGUUAACUGCAAAGUCCAUAAAAUAACUAAUCAUUCGUGGUCAACUCUGGUGACCCCCUCCCCCCCAGAUCACAUGACAUCUGCGCAGGGCUUUUUAAGAUGGGAGCAAUGGGGCUGCGUGUAAAGCUGUUUUUGUUUACUUAAAAGUACACACUUCAGUAUAAGCAUAUGCGCUGUAAUUACUCAGAACUCAUCAUUCGUGGCACUGCUAUUAUAUAGUUAUACAACACCAGUCCUUCUGAAACUGUGAAGUGAUGUCUGGAAGUGUAGUAGUCCUUUACCUUGUCAGCACCUUAACAGCACACUUGGGCCAUCCCGACAUCACGUAGUGUUGAACCGUGUGCAGUUCUGCGUCCUGUAAAGGUCUGCUGUUGGACCAUGUGGGAGCUUAGUGGGUGAAAUGGGCCACAACCAGUGGAUUGCUUUCUCAUAGGCUUCUAUUUCAAGAAAUCCUUUAAAAAUAGUAAUUUAAUAAAUAUUCAAUAUAAUAUAAGUGUAAGUUCAUAAAUGGAAUUGUAUAUAUUCUAUAUUAAAUCAGACACUCAUGGUACAGCACUGUGUAUUGAUGAGAGGAUGAAAACAGAGGUAUAGACGGGCCUACAACGACAAGAAUAACCUCAGAACUCUACCAGACCUUCAGCCUGGAACCAGCGUUGCUGUGAAGCUGGAUGAUGAGAGAGGCUGGACAAAGUCUGCUUCGGUCCUGAAGCAAGGUGACACACUAAGGUCAUACCUAGUCCAGACGGAUAAAGGAGUACUGUGCAGAAACCAUCGCCAUCUGAGACCUCUCCACAGGCCUUCAGAGACUUUCCAGGAGGGAAGGGACGGAUGUAUAGUGAACGAUGGAGAAUUGAAGUCACCUGGUUCUGAUGCAGACACACCUCCAGUUACAUCUCAAGAUACUAUGACACAGACUUCAACACGCACAACCUCCAGCGGCAGAGAAACCACCAGACCGAUACGGAGAGUAUGUUCAGUAGUCAGGGCGUAGCCUGCAUCAAGUGGCAGAAUAAUCCACUGCAGCUAUUUUGGGGACUGGUAGUCCACCCAGAUCCCAAUAGUUCAGAUGUAUGUUAAAUAACUGUUUAAUUAAUAAUAAUAAAAUAAAACUGUUAAGUGCCAGUACCACCACAAGUUUAAAUCCUGAAGAGAUUUUGAAAUUAAAUGUAUGUUAUUAAAUUGUUACUAAGAACAGUUAGUCAUGCAGAAGAUGUUGAUAGACGAUAUUAUGCCUUUUGCAGCAUGUCUUAAAUUACUUUUUUUUUUUUUGUGAUGUCAUUGUCAAACUA